CUCGGAGGGAUCAUUA
rnacentral:rRNA from 16 species